rnacentral:lncRNA from 1 species
UUUAUUUUAUUAUAUUUUUUUUAUUGAAACUUUCUUAUACUACAAGGCAUAUAACGCUUUUUCACCUUCUUCUCCGGUGCGAAACGAAAAAAUUCUAAAAAUGUAUUAGGUUCCACGUAAAACUAUGGAAAAAAAUUUUCGGUGGAAAAAAAAUUUCAGUGGGAAAAAAAUUUUAUGUUGUUUAAUAUUUGGUUUGUAGGAAAAAAAUAGAUAAAAAAUUAUUUAAUAUAUUUUUUAUUAUAUAUAUAUUAUUAAUAUAUAAUAAUUAUUAUCUUAUAUAUAUUAUUAUUAUAAUUUCUAUUUAUAGAUUAAAUAUAUUUAAAAUUAUAAUAAACAUAUUACAUAAUAUAUAAGCAUUAUAUAUUUU